rnacentral:sRNA from 1 species
AAUUUGAAGCUAGAGGUGUCA